UGCCAGCAGCCGCGGUAAUACGGAGGGUGCAAGCGUUAUCCGGAUUUAUUGGGUUUAAAGGGUGCGCAGGCGGAAUGAUAAGUCAGUGGUGAAAUCCUACGGCUCAACCGUAGAACUGCCAUUGAUACUGUUGUUCUUGAGUACAGUUGUAGUGGGCGGAAUAUGUCAUGUAGCGGUGAAAUGCAUAGAUAUGACAUAGAACACCGAUCGCGAAGGCAGCUCACUAAGCUGAAACUGACGCUCAGGCACGAAAGCGUGGGGAGCAAACAGGAUUAGAUA
rnacentral:rRNA from 1 species